GGUUAAGUGACUAAGCGUACACGGUGGAUGCCUUGGCAGUCAGAGGCGAUGAAAGACGUAGUAACUUGCGAUAAGCCCAGAUUAGGUAGUAACAACCAUUUGAGUCUGGGAUUUCUGAAUGGGGAAACCCACGUGCAUAAGCACGUAUCCUUACCUGAAUACAUAGGGUAAGGAGGCGAACCGGGGAACUGAAACAUCUAAGUACCCCGAGGAAAAGAAAUCAACCGAGAUUCCGAAAGUAGCGGCGAGCGAAAUUGGACUAGCCCUUAAGCUUUACACGCGUUAGACGAACGGUCUGGAAAGUCCGACGAUACAGGGUGAUAGUCCCGUAGUUGACGACGUGUGUUCAGUGAAAUCGAGUAGGGCGGGACACGUGAUAUCCUGUCUGAAUAUGGGGGACCAUCCUCCAAGGCUAAAUACUACUGACUGACCGAUAGUGAACCAGUACCGUGAGGGAAAGGCGAAAAGAACCCCUGUGAGGGGAGUGAAAUAGAACCUGAAACCGUGUACGUACAAGCAGUAGGAGCAGGCUUUGUCCUGUGACUGCGUACCUUUUGUAUAAUGGGUCAGCGACUUAUAUUCAGUGGCAAGGUUAACCAUCUAGGGGAGCCGUAGGGAAACCGAGUCUUAACUGGGCGUUCAGUCUCUGGAUAUAGACCCGAAACCAGGUGAUCUAGCCAUGGGCAGGUUGAAGGUUGAGUAACAUCAACUGGAGGACCGAACCGACUAAUGUUGAAAAAUUAGCGGAUGACUUGUGGCUAGGGGUGAAAGGCCAAUCAAACCUGGAGAUAGCUGGUUCUCCCCGAAAGCUAUUUAGGUAGCGCCUCGGACGAAUACUACUGGGGGUAGAGCACUGUUAAGGCUAGGGGUCAUCCCGACUUACCAACCCUUUGCAAACUCCGAAUACCAGUAAGUACUAUCCGGGAGACACACGGCGGGUGCUAACGUCCGUCGUGGAGAGGGAAACAACCCAGACCGCCAGCUAAGGUCCCAAAUUACUACUAAGUGGGAAACGAUGUGGGAAGGCUCAGACAGCCAGGAUGUUGGCUUAGAAGCAGCCAUCAUUUAAAGAAAGCGUAAUAGCUCACUGGUCGAGUCGGCCUGCGCGGAAGAUGUAACGGGGCUAAGUAGUAAACCGAAGCUGCGGCAAUACUCUUUGAGUAUUGGGUAGGGGAGCGUUCUGUAAGCGGUUGAAGGUGUGUGGUAACGCAUGCUGGACGUAUCAGAAGUGCGAAUGCUGACAUGAGUAACGAUAAAGGGGUGAAAAACCUCCUCGCCGGAAGACCAAGGGUUCCUGUCCAACGUUAAUCGGGGCAGGGUAAGUCGACCCCUAAGGCGAGGCCGAAAGGCGUAGUCGAUGGGAAACGGGUUAAUAUUCCCGUACUUCUUACAAUUGCGAUGGGGGGACGGAGAAGGCUAGGUGGGCCUGGCGACGGUUGUCCAGGUUCAAGUGCGUAGGCUUAAGAGUUAGGUAAAUCCGGCACUUUUUAAGGCUGAGACACGACGUCGAGCACCUACGGGUGUGAAGUCAUUGAUGCCAUGCUUCCAGGAAAAGCCUCUAAGCUUCAGAUUGUAAGGAAUCGUACCCCAAACCGACACAGGUGGUCGGGUAGAGAAUACCAAGGCGCUUGAGAGAACUCGGGUGAAGGAACUAGGCAAAAUGGUACCGUAACUUCGGGAGAAGGUACGCUCUUGAUGGUGAAGUCCCUCGCGGAUGGAGCUGACGAGAGUCGCAGAUACCAGGUGGCUGCAACUGUUUAUUAAAAACACAGCACUGUGCAAAAUCGUAAGAUGACGUAUACGGUGUGACGCCUGCCCGGUGCCGGAAGGUUAAUUGAUGGGGUUAGACUUCGGUCGAAGCUCUUGAUCGAAGCCCCGGUAAACGGCGGCCGUAACUAUAACGGUCCUAAGGUAGCGAAAUUCCUUGUCGGGUAAGUUCCGACCUGCACGAAUGGCGUAAUGAUGGCCACGCUGUCUCCACCCGAGACUCAGUGAAAUUGAAAUCGCUGUGAAGAUGCAGUGUACCCGCGGCUAGACGGAAAGACCCCGUGAACCUUUACUACAGCUUGGCACUGAACAUUGACCCUACAUGUGUAGGAUAGGUGGGAGGCUUUGAAGCACGUACGCCAGUAUGUGUGGAGCCGUCCUUGAAAUACCACCCUUGUAGUGUUGAUGUUCUAACGUCGACCCCUUAUCGGGGUUGCGGACAGUGCCUGGUGGGUAGUUUGACUGGGGCGGUCUCCUCCCAAAGAGUAACGGAGGAGCACGAAGGUGGGCUAAUCACGGUUGGACAUCGUGAGGUUAGUGCAAUGGCAUAAGCCCGCUUGACUGCGAGAAUGACAAUUCGAGCAGGUGCGAAAGCAGGUCAUAGUGAUCCGGUGGUUCUGAAUGGAAGGGCCAUCGCUCAACGGAUAAAAGGUACUCCGGGGAUAACAGGCUGAUACCGCCCAAGAGUUCAUAUCGACGGCGGUGUUUGGCACCUCGAUGUCGGCUCAUCACAUCCUGGGGCUGAAGUCGGUCCCAAGGGUAUGGCUGUUCGCCAUUUAAAGUGGUACGCGAGCUGGGUUUAGAACGUCGUGAGACAGUUCGGUCCCUAUCUGCCGUGGGCGUUGGAAGAUUGAAGGGGGCUGCUCCUAGUACGAGAGGACCGGAGUGGACGAACCUCUGGUGUUCGGGUUGUGUCGCCAGACGCAUUGCCCGGUAGCUAAGUUCGGAAUCGAUAACCGCUGAAAGCAUCUAAGCGGGAAGCGAGCCCUGAGAUGAGUCUUCCCUGAUACUUUAAGUAUCCUAAAGGGUUGUCGGAGACUACGACGUUGAUAGGUCAGGUGUGUAAGUGCUGUGAGGCAUUGAGCUAACUGAUACUAAUUGCCCGUGAGGCUUAACCAU
rnacentral:rRNA from 1 species